UACGAAGGGGGCUAGCGGUGCUCGGAAUCACUGGGCGUAAAGGGUGCGCAGGCGGGUCUUUAAGUCAGGGGUGAAAUCCUGGAGCUCAACUCCAGAACUGCCUUUGAUACUGAGAGGCUCGAGUCCGGGAGAGGUGAGUGGAACUGCGAGUGUAGAGGUGAAAUUCGUAGAUAUUCGCAAGAACACCAGUGGCGAAGGCGGCUCACUGGCCCGGUACUGACGCUGAGGUGCGAAAGCGUGGGGAGCAAACAGG
rnacentral:rRNA from 1 species